UACGUAGGGUGCGAGCGUUUGUCCGGAAUUAUUGGGCGUAAAGAGCUCGUAGGCGGUGUGUCACGUCGGCCGUGAAAACCUGCAGCUUAACUGUGGGCGUGCGGUCGAUACGGGCAUCACUGGAGUUCGGCAGGGGAGACUGGAAUUCCUGGUGUAGCGGUGAAAUGCGCAGAUAUCAGGAGGAACACCGGUGGCGAAGGCGGGUCUCUGGGCCGAUACUGACGCUGAGGAGCGAAAGCGUGGGGGAGCAAACAGG
rnacentral:rRNA from 1 species